rnacentral:rRNA from 1 species
UACAUAGGGUGCAAGCGUUGUCCGGAUUUAUUGGGCGUAAAGAGCUCGUAGGCGGCACGGUAAGUCAGAAGUUAAAACGCAGAGCUCAACUCUGCGUCGCUUUUGAUACUGCCGAGCUUGAGUAUGGCAGGGGAGAUUGGAAUUCCACGUGUAGCGGUGAAAUGCGUAGAGAUGCGGAGGAACACCGAUGGCGAAGGCAGCCCCCUGGGCUGACACUGACGCUGAGGCACGAAAGCGUGGGGAGCAAACAGG